GGCGUCACUGGCCGAGACGAGCAGGCUGAUUUCGUUCACGCCGAAACCGGUUUCGAGAUCGGUCAACGCGCGUUCGACGGCGCGCGUGUUGGCGC
rnacentral:tRNA from 1 species